rnacentral:rRNA from 1 species
UACAGAGGGUGCGAGCGUUAAUCGGAAUUACUGGGCGUAAAGCGUGCGUAGACGGUUAUUUAAGUCGGGUGUGAAAGCCCCGGGCUCAACCUGGGAAUGGCGAUGGAGACUGCAAGGCUAGAGUUUGGCAGAGGGGGGUAGAAUUCCACGUGUAGCAGUGAAAUGCGUAGAUAUGUGGAGGAACACCGAUGGCGAAGGCAGCCCCCUGGGUCAAAAACUGACGCUCAUGCACGAAAGCGUGGGGAGCAAACAGG